GCUCUCGUCGUCUAAUGGCUAUGAUAUCAGAUUCCUACCGUGACGGCUAAGAUCUGAAGGUUCCGGGUUCGAGUCCCGGCGGGAGUA